AACCGCUGAACUUAAGCAUAUCAAUAAGCGGAGGAAAAGAAACCAACAGGGAUUGCCUUAGUAACGGCGAGUGAAGCGGCAACAGCUCAAAUUUGAAAUCUGGCCUCUUUGGGGUCCGAGUUGUAAUUUGCAGAGGGCGCUUUGGCGUUGGCAGCGGUCCAAGUUCCUUGGAACAGGACGUCACAGAGGGUGAGAAUCCCGUACGUGGUCGCUAGCCUUCGCCGUGUAAAGCCCCUUCGACGAGUCGAGUUGUUUGGGAAUGCAGCUCUAAAUGGGAGGUAAAUUUCUUCUAAAGCUAAAUACUGGCCAGAGACCGAUAGCGCACAAGUAGAGUGAUCGAAAGAUGAAAAGCACUUUGGAAAGAGAGUCAAACAGCACGUGAAAUUGUUGAAAGGGAAGCGCUUGCAGCCAGACUUGCCUGUAGUUGCUCAUCCGGGCUUUUGCCCGGUGCACUCUUCUGCGGGCAGGCCAGCAUCAGUUUGGGCGGUUGGAUAAAGGUCUCUGUCAUGUACCUCUCUUCGGGGAGGCCUUAUAGGGGAGACGACAUGCAACCAGCCCAGACUGAGGUCCGCGCAUUUGCUAGGAUGCUGGCGUAAUGGCUGU
rnacentral:rRNA from 1 species